GAUGAACGCUAGCGAUAGGCCUUACACAUGCAAGUCGAGGGGCAGCGCGAGAAAGUAGCAAUACCUUCUUGGCGGCGACCGGCGGAUGGGUGAGUAACGCGUAUGCAACCUACCUACUACUUUGGGAUAGCUCGUUGAAAGACGAAUUAAUACCUUAUAAUACAGGGACUCCGCAUGGAGAUAUUUGUUAAAGAUUUAUUGGUAGUAGAUGGGCAUGCGUUCCAUUAGUUAGUUGGUGAGGUAACGGCUCACCAAGACAACGAUGGAUAGGGGAGCUGAGAGGUUUGUCCCCCACACUGGAACUGAGACACGGUCCAG
rnacentral:rRNA from 1 species